rnacentral:rRNA from 2 species
UACGGAGGGUGCAAGCGUUGUCCGGAUUUAUUGGGUUUAAAGGGUGCGUAGGCGGCUUAGUAAGUCCGUGGUGAAAGCCAACAGCUCAACUGUUGAACUGCCAUGGAUACUGCUAGGCUUGAGUACAGACGAGGUAGGCGGAAUUGAUGGUGUAGCGGUGAAAUGCAUAGAUACCAUCAAGAACACCGAUUGCGAAGGCAGCUUACUAGGCUGUAACUGACGCUGAGGCACGAAAGCGUGGGGAGCGAACAGG